rnacentral:rRNA from 1 species
GCUCGAAAGAGCAGCUAAUACCGCAUACGACCUGAGGGUGAAAGGGGGGGAUCGCAAGACCUCUCGCUAUUGGAGCGGCCGAUAUCAGAUUAGCUAGUUGGUGGGGUAAAGGCCUACCAAGGCAACGAUCUGUAGUUGGUCUGAGAGGACGACCAGCCACACUGGGACUGAGACACGGCCCAGACUCCUACGGGAGGCAGCAGUGGGGAAUUUUGGACAAUGGGCGCAAGCCUGAUCCAGCAAUGCCGCGUGCAGGAAGAAGGCCUUCGGGUUGUAAACUGCUUUUGUCAGGGAAGAAAUCCUCUAGGUUAAUACCCUUGGGGGGAUGACGGUACCUGAAGAAUAAGCACCGGCUAACUACGUGCCAGCAGCCGCGGUAAUACGUAGGGUGCAAGCGUUAAUCGGAAUUACUGGGCGUAAAGCGUGCGCAGGCGGCUUUGCAAGACAGAUGU